rnacentral:rRNA from 1 species
GAUGAACGCCAGCUACAGGCUUAACACAUGCAAGUCGAGGGGCAGCACAGUGUAGCAAUACACGGGUGGCGACCGGCGCACGGGUGCGUAACGCGUAUCCAACCUUCCCGUUACUCUUGGAUAGCCUUCCGAAAGGGAGAUUAAUACAAGAUGGUAUUCAAAUUCCGCAUGUUAUUUGAAUUAAAGAUUUAUCGGUAACGGAUGGGGACGCGUGACAUUAGAUAGUAGGCGGGGUAACGGCCCACCUAGUCUACGAUGUCUAGGGGUUCUGAGAGGAAGGUCCCCCACACUGGAACUGAGACACGGUACAGACUCCUACGGGAGGCAGCAGUGAGGAAUAUUGGUCAAUGGUCGGAAGACUGAACCAGCCAAGUAGCGUGAAGGAUGAAGGUUCUAUGGAUUGUAAACUUCUUUUAUACGGGAAUAAAACCUCCCACGUGUGGGAGCUUGUAUGUACCGUAUGAAUAAGCAUCGGCUAACUCCGUGCCAGCAGCCGCGGUAAUAC